CAGAGAACAUGCCUCUCGGGGUAUAUCUCCCACCCUUUGUUUACAAUACCUUUGUUGCUUUGGCAGGCUUUAGCUAGCCUGUGCCUGCCAGAGGACCCUAAAAUUCUGACAUUAUGUUGUCUGAGUAUGAUGCAAUGAUUA
rnacentral:misc_RNA from 1 species